UCGAACGGUAGCACAGAGAGCUUGCUCUCGGGUGACGAGUGGCGGACGGGUGAGUAAUGUCUGGGAAACUGCCUGAUGGAGGGGGAUAACUACUGGAAACGGUAGCUAAUACCGCAUAAUGUCGCAAGACCAAAGAGGGGGACCUUCGGGCCUCUUGCCAUCAGAUGUGCCCAGAUGGGAUUAGCUAGUAGGUGGGGUAACGGCUCACCUAGGCGACGAUCCCUAGCUGGUCUGAGAGGAUGACCAGCCACACUGGAACUGAGACACGGUCCAGACUCCUACGGGAGGCAGCAGUGGGGAAUAUUGCACAAUGGGCGCAAGCCUGAUGCAGCCAUGCCGCGUGUAUGAAGAAGGCCUUCGGGUUGUAAAGUACUUUCAGCGGGGAGGAAGGUGUUGUGGUUAAUAACCACAGCAAUUGACGUUACCCGCAGAAGAAGCACCGGCUAACUCCGUGCCAGCAGCCGCGGUAAUACGGAGGGUGCAAGCGUUAAUCGGAAUUACUGGGCGUAAAGCGCACGCAGGCGGUCUGUCAAGUCGGAUGUGAAAUCCCCGGGCUCAACCUGGGAACUG
rnacentral:rRNA from 1 species